rnacentral:rRNA from 1 species
GAUGAACGCUGGCGGCGUGCUUAACACAUGCAAGUCGAACGGGAUCCCAGGAGCUUGCUCCUGGGUGAGAGUGGCGAACGGGUGAGUAAUGCGUGACCGACCUGCCCCAUACACCGGAAUAGCUCCUGGAAACGGGUGGUAAUGCCGGAUGCUCCGACAUGACGCAUGUCGUGUCGGGAAAGAUUCAUCGGUAUGGGAUGGGGUCGCGUCCUAUCAGCUUGAUGGCGGGGUAACGGCCCACCAUGGCUUCGACGGGUAGCCGGCCUGAGAGGGCGACCGGCCACAUUGGGACUGAGAUACGGCCCAGACUCCUACGGGAGGCAGCAGUGGGGAAUAUUGCACAAUGGGCGCAAGCCUGAUGCAGCGACGCCGCGUGCGGGAUGACGGCCUUCGGGUUGUAAACCGCUUUUGACUGGGAGCAAGCCCUUCGGGGUGAGUGUACCUUUCGAAUAAGCA